CAGACGCCCUCGGCGAGUCUCUGGACCGCCCAAGCAAGCGGGACCUGGAGCGGGCGGUCGGCGCCUUCGUAGAGGAAGCGCAUUGUCACCGCGGCAACCGCGUCAGGCUCG
rnacentral:SRP_RNA from 1 species